rnacentral:rRNA from 1 species
CCCUUAGAUGUUCUGGGCCGCACGCGCGCUACACCGAUGAAUUCAACGAGCACUAACCUGUGCAGAAAUGUUCGGGUAAUCUUGUGAAAUUUCAUCGUGAUGGGGAUUGAUUAUUGCAAUUAUUAAUCAUAAACGAGGAAUGCCUAGUAAGCGUGAGUCAUCAGCUCACGUUGAUUACGUCCCUGCCCUUUGUACACACCGCCCGUCGCUCCUACCGAUUGAAUGUGCUGGUGAAAAGUUCGGAUUGGGAAUAGGAGACGGCAACGUAUCCUGUUUCUGAGAAAAUCUUUAAACCCUCCCAUUUAGAGGAAGGAGAAGUCGUAACA